UGGGGAAUCUUGCACAAUGGGGGAAACCCUGAUGCAGCGACGCCGCGUGAACGAUGAAGCCCUUCGGGGUGUAAAGUUCUUUCGGCAGGAACGAUAAUGACGGUACCUGAAGAAGAAGCUGCGGCUAACUACGUGCCAGCAGCCGCGGUAAUACGUAGGCAGCAAACGUUGUUCGGAGUUACUGGGCGUAAAGAGUACGUAGGCGGUUUGCCAAGUUUGGUGUGAAAUCUCCUGGCUUAACUGGGAGGGUGCGCCGAAUACUGGCAGACUUGAGUAUUGGAGAGGAAAGCGGAAUUCCUGGUGUAGCGGUGAAAUGCGUAGAUAUCAGGAGGAACACCGGUGGUGUAGACGGCUUUCUGGACAAUCACUGACGCUGAGGUACGAAAGCGUGGGUAGCAAACAGGAUUAGAUACCCCCGUAGUCCCUGAGCGGGCUGGCAAGGCGCAU
rnacentral:rRNA from 1 species